AUGUCUUAAGAACGCUACGUAC
rnacentral:rRNA from 1 species